rnacentral:rRNA from 1 species
UUAACACAUGCAAGUCGAGCGGUAACAGGAGAAGCUUGCUUCUNGGCGUGACGAGCGGCGGACGGGUGAGUAAUACUUAGGAAUCUACCUAGUAGUGGGGGAUAGCUCGGGGAAACUCGAAUUAAUACCGCAUACGACCUACGGGAGAAAGGGGGCAACUUGUUCGUCUCGCUAUUAGAUGAGCCUAAGUCGGAUUAGCUAGAUGGUGGGGUAAAGGCCUACCAUGGCGACGAUCUGUAGCUGGUCUGAGAGGAUGAUCAGCCACACCGGGACUGAGACACGGCCCGGACUCCUACGGGAGGCAGCAGUGGGGAAUAUUGGACAAUGGGGGCAACCCUGAUCCAGCCAUGCCGCGUGUGUGAAGAAGGCCUUUUGGUUGUAAAGCACUUUAAGCAGUGAAGAAGACUCCAUGGUUAAUACCCAUGGACGAUGACAUUAGCUGCAGAAUAAGCACCGGCUAACUCUGUGCCAGCAGCCGCGGUAAUACAGAGGGUGCAAGCGUUAAUCGGAAUUACUGGGCGUAAAGCGAGCGUAGGUGGCUUGAUAAGUCAGAUGUGAAAGCCCCGGGCUUAACCUGGGAACGGCAUCUGAUACUGUNAGGCUAGAGUAGGUGAGA